rnacentral:rRNA from 1 species
GAUGAACGCUGGCGGCGUGCUUAACACAUGCAAGUCGAACGAGAAGUGGAGACGGAAACCUUCGGGCGGAAGACUUUAUUUCGAGUGGCGGACGGGUGAGUAACGCGUGGGUAACCUGCCUCAUACAGGGGGAUAACAGUAGGAAACGACUGUUAAUACCGCAUAAGACCACAGCACCGCAUGGUGCGGGGGUAAAAACUCCGGUGGUAUGAGAUGGACCCGCGUUCGAUUAGCCAGUUGGCGGGGUAACGGCCCACCAAAGCGACGAUCGAUAGCCGAUCUGAGAGGAUGACCGGCCACAUUGGGACUGAGACACGGCCCAAACUCCUACGGGAAGCAGCAGUGGGGAAUAUUGCACAAUGGGGGAAACCCUGAUGCAGCGACGCCGCGUGAGUGAAGAAGUAUUUCGGUAUGUAAAGCUCUAUCAGCAGGGAAGAAAAUGACGGUACCUGAGGAAGAAGCCCCGGCUAACUACGUG